ensembl:lncRNA
CUGCUUUCAUCAUUUGUGUCCAAACUGCACAAAUUAGUCAACCUUGCUUGAAAAUCACAUUUCUGUAAUAAUUGAAUCUCUGAUGCGUGUGUGUAUGGUAAUAUCCCUUUCCUUGAGCAGGGCCAGUUUCAAAGCCUACAAUCACCAUGGACUGCAUUGAUACCAUCUGCACCCUGACCUGCAAGGGAAAGAAAGAUAAAUUAACAACGUACACCUGGGCUAAUGGCAUUGAUGAGUGGCCUGGAUCUGAACUGACUGUGGAGAGGAGAGACCAUGAUGUGGUCUACACCUGUAACAUCAGUAAUCCAGUGAGCUCGGCAUCCAGACAAGGGACAGUCAAAAACAUGUACUGCCUCCACCAGAUCCAGUUGCUAUUGGAUGUAGGGUGUCACUUUUUAUUGUAAUUGUCCUAAUUGCAAUUCGACUUCAUUGGGGGUUAAAAAAAGCAAGGUGAGUAUCCUUAAAAUCUUUUGAGACUGAUUGUGCAGAUUCAAGGGGGUUUAAGAAAGUACUGUAAUUCGAUUCUAACCCCAGUAUCAACCUGUUAUAUACACUUUAAAUGCGUUAUUAUACUGUUUGACCAUUUCAAUGUCAAGAUUCUCACCAGAGUGAGUUUGUAGAGUCGGCAAAGCAUCAGGGUGGCUUUUUACUGACCUAUUAUCAUUAGGCAGCUAGAGUGCCUCCUGUACUAAAAUUCAUGCUUUUCUAUCGAAUGUCAGAAACGUUAUUUCUUCCUGGUUGUAUGUUGUUUUAAAAUGUUCUAAUAGUGGCUAACAUCGAAAGUUUGGUUCUGUUUGGCAAGUCAAAAUAAAAGAAAGUGUUGAAGUCGGAUUUGGUGUAAUGACACUAGUCAAAUUAAUGCCAGUCUGAGCAUGGUGGCAUUCCUAAUUCACAGCAAUCACUGUUGCAGCCAAGGCAAACUGGUGAAUUAUUAUAAAUAAUUAUACAACAAAUGCACUUGUAUUGUGUUUACAUUCAAUUCAUUAACUGUAAAUCUUGAACUCAAA